AUGGGUAGAUUUGUGAGAAAACAGAUCUUCAACCUUUCCAUAUUUUCCCAACGAGUUUUACCGAGACGAUGCACAUGUGUUUGUACUAUCGUGGAGUUGAAAACCAAAAUAUCGUGUCAAUUGAUUACGGUGAAGUGUUGCUUAUAUCCUCAUUUGGUGGCAAAAUAUCCUGUUGAUGCCUUGUACAUUCAAUACAAAUGGAUGAAAUCCAGUUGCCUAGAUUUUCAUUUCGUUAGAAGAUUACUUGUUUUUCUGGUUGGUGGAGAAGGCAUUGCAUUAUAUUCCUUAAUGCUGUUAUUAUUAUUAUUAUUCUGUACAUGA